rnacentral:misc_RNA from 1 species
GAUGAAGAACGCAGCGAAAUGCGAUAAGUAAUGUGAAUUGCAGAAUUCAGUGAAUCAUCGAAUCUUUGAACGCACAUUGCGCCCCUUGGUAUUCCGAGGGGCAUGCCUGUUCGAGCGUCAUUAUAACCCCUCAAGCUCAGCUUGGUGUUGGGGCCUGCUGCACUGGCAGCCCUUAAAAUCAGUGGCGGCGCCAUCUGGCUCUAAGCGUAGUAAUUCUUCUCGCUAUGGAGUCCUGGUGGAUGCUUGCCAUCAACCCCCAAUUUUUCUAUGGUUGACCUCGGAUCAGGUGGGGAUACCCGCUGAACUUAAGCAUAUCAAUAAGCGGAGGA